GGAACGAAACGGCCGACUUUAAUAAAGUCGGCUAAUGACGGUACCUGCAGAAGAAGCACCGGCUAACUACGUGCCAGCAGCCGCGGUAAUACGUAGGGUGCGAGCGUUAAUCGAAAUUACUGGGCGUAAAGCGUGCGCAGGCGGCGACAUAAGACAGAUGUGAAAUCCCCGGGCUCAACCUGGGAACUGCGUUUGUGACUGUGUUGCUAGAGUGUAGCAGAGGGGGGUGGAAUUCCACGUGUAGCAGUGAAAUGCGUAGAGAUGUGGAGGAACACCGAUGGCGAAGGCAGCCCCCUGGGUUAACACUGACGCUCAUGCACGAAAGCGUGGGGAGCAAACAGGAUUAGAUACCCUGGUAGUCCACGCCCUAAACGAUG
rnacentral:rRNA from 1 species